UGCCAGACUCCUACGGGAGGCAGCAGUGGGGAAUAUUGCACAAUGGGGGAAACCCUGAUGCAGCGACGCCGCGUGAGUGAAGAAGUAUUUCGGUAUGUAAAGCUCUCUCAGCAGGGAAGAUAAUGACGGUACCUGACUAAGAAGCCCCGGCUAACUACGUGCCAGCAGCCGCGGUAAUACGUAGGGGGCAAGCGUUAUCCGGAUUUACUGGGUGUAAAGGGAGCGUAGGUGGCAGGGCAGGUCUGAAGUGAAAGGCGGGGGCCCAACCCCCGGACUGCUUUGGAAACUGUAUAGCUGGAGUGCAGGAGAGGUAAGUGGAAUUCCUAGUGUAGCGGUGAAAUGCGUAGAUAUUAGGAGGAACACCAGUGGCGAAGGCGGCUUACUGGACUGUAACUGACGUUGAGGCUCGAAAGCGUGGGGAGCAAACAGGAUUAGAUACCCCAGUA
rnacentral:rRNA from 1 species